GACGUAGGGCGCGAGCGUUGUUCGGAUUUACUGGGCGUAAAGCGCACGUAGGCGGAUCGAUCAGUCAGGGGUGAAAUCCCAGGGCUCAACCCUGGAACUGCCUUUGAUACUGUCGAUCUGGAGUAUGGAAGAGGUGAGUGGAAUUCCGAGUGUAGAGGUGAAAUUCGUAGAUAUUCGGAGGAACACCAGUGGCGAAGGCGGCUCACUGGUCCAUUACUGACGCUGAGGUGCGAAAGCGUGGGGAGCAAACAGG
rnacentral:rRNA from 1 species